AAGCAUGAUCGUAAGGACAUGUGGAGCGCUUAGAAGUGAGAAUGCCGGUGUGAGUAGCGAAAGACGGGUGAGAAUCCCGUCCACCGAUUGACUAAGGUUUCCAGAGGAAGGCUCGUCCGCUCUGGGUUAGUCGGGUCCUAAGCUGAGGCCGACAGGCGUAGGCGAUGGAUAACAGGUUGAUAUUCCUGUACCACCUAUAAUCGUUUUAAUCGAUGGGGGGACGCAGUAGGAUAGGCGAAGCGUGCGAUUGGAUUGCACGUCUAAGCAGUAAGGCUGAGUAUUAGGCAAAUCCGGUACUCGUUAAGGCUGAGCUGUGAUGGGGAGAAGACAUUGAGUCUUCGAGUCGUUGAUUUCACACUGCCGAGAAAAGCCUCUAGAUAGAAAAUAGGUGCCCGUACCGCAAACCGACACAGGUAGUCAAGAUGAGAAUUCUAAGGUGAGCGAGCGAACUCUCGUUAAGGAACUCGGCAAAAUGACCCCGUAACUUCGGGAGAAGGGGUGCUCUUUAGGGUUAACGCCCAGAAGAGCCGCAGUGAAUAGGCCCAAGCGACUGUUUAUCAAAAACACAGGUCUCUGCUAAACCGUAAGGUGAUGUAUAGGGGCUGACGCCUGCCCGGUGCUGGAAGGUUAAGAGGAGUGGUUAGCUUCUGCGAAGCUACGAAUCGAAGCCCCAGUAAACGGCGGCCGUAACUAUAACGGUCCUAAGGUAGCGAAAUUCCUUGUCGGGUAAGUUCCGACCCGCACGAAAGGCGUAACGAUUUGGGCACUGUCUCAACGAGAGACUCGGUGAAAUCAUAGUACCUGUGAAGAUGCAGGUUACCCGCGACAGGACGGAAAGACCCCGUGGAGCUUUACUGUAGCCUGAUAUUGAAAUUCGGCACAGCUUGUACAGGAUAGGUAGGAGCCUUUGAAACGUGAGCGCUAGCUUACGUGGAGGCGCUGGUGGGAUACUACCCUAGCUGUGUUGGCUUUCUAACCCGCACCACUUAUCGUGGUGGGAGACAGUGUCAGGCGGGCAGUUUGACUGGGGCGGUCGCCUCCUAAAAGGUAACGGAGGCGCUCAAAGGUUCCCUCAGAAUGGUUGGAAAUCAUUCAUAGAGUGUAAAGGCAUAAGGGAGCUUGACUGCGAGACCUACAAGUCGAGCAGGGUCGAAAGACGGACUUAGUGAUCCGGUGGUUCCGCAUGGAAGGGCCAUCGCUCAACGGAUAAAAGCUACCCCGGGGAUAACAGGCUUAUCUCCCCCAAGAGUUCACAUCGACGGGGAGGUUUGGCACCUCGAUGUCGGCUCAUCGCAUCCUGGGGCUGUAGUCGGUCCCAAGGGUUGGGCUGUUCGCCCAUUAAAGCGGUACGCGAGCUGGGUUCAGAACGUCGUGAGACAGUUCGGUCCCUAUCCGUCGUGGGCGUAGGAAAUUUGAGAGGAGCUGUCCUUAGUACGAGAGGACCGGGAUGGACAUACCUCUGGUGUACCAGUUGUCGUGCCAACGGCAUAGCUGGGUAGCUAUGUGUGGACGGGAUAAGUGCUGAAAGCAUCUAAGCAUGAAGCCCCCCUCAAGAUGAGAUUUCCCAACUUCGGUUAUAAGAUCCCUCAAAGAUGAUGAGGUUAAUAGGUUCGAGGUGGAAGCAUGGUGACAUGUGGAGCUGACGAAUACUAAUCGAUCGAAGACUUAAUCAA
rnacentral:rRNA from 1 species